rnacentral:lncRNA from 1 species
AGCACAGUAUGCUAGUACUGCGCUGAUCCUUCUUUGAUGGUUGAUCAGGUGCCUCCUUCUUCUUGAUUUGGACUCUUCCAAAGGUGAAAAGUAGAAGGAGUUUCAGAUCUAAGAUGCUCUUAGGAAACUCAAGAUGGAGGGAGGAAAGAUAUGAAAACAAACAACCCUAGAAGAAGACCCUCUUCUUCUUCUCGUUUCUCUCUCUAGACACCCUAUCUUGUGUCUAUUAUAUCUCUACAACCCAAGGGUCUUUCUCUCUAAUUUUUGGAUGGCCCAAAGAAAUCUCAAAUCUCUAUCUACUUCAAAAAUUUUAUGAAGAAACUUGUUUUAUACAGAGAGAUAUGAUAGAGUCCUUGUCUAGGUCAAAUACCUAGUCAAGGCUUAUCCAAAUAUGGCA